rnacentral:rRNA from 1 species
UACGUAGGGUGCAAGCGUUGUCCGGAAUUAUUGGGCGUAAAGAGCUCGUAGGCGGCUUGUCGCGUCGUCCGUGAAAACCUGCGGCUCAACUGCAGGCUGGCGGUCGAUACGGGCAGGCUGGAGUUCGGUAGGGGAGACUGGAAUUCCUGGUGUAGCGGUGAAAUGCGCAGAUAUCAGGAGGAACACCGGUGGCGAAGGCGGGUCUCUGGGCCGAUAUUGACGCUGAGGAGCGAAAGCGUGGGAAGCGAACAGG